rnacentral:rRNA from 1 species
GACGAACGCUGGCGGCGUGCUUAACACAUGCAAGUCGAACGCGCCUGUCCUCUGGGUUUCUGGGGGGUGGGUGAGUGGCGAACGGGUGAGUAACACGUGAGUAACCUGCCCCCUUCUUCGGGAUAACGGUCUGAAAGGGCUGCUAAUACCGGGUAUUCACUGGUCUCCGCAUGGGGUCUGGUGGAAAGGUUUUUUUCUGGUGGGGGAUGGGCUCGCGGCCUAUCAGCUUGUUGGUGGGGUGAUGGCCCACCAAGGCUUUGACGGGUAGCCGGCCUGAGAGGGUGACCGGUCACAUUGGGACUGAGAUACGGCCCAGACUCCUACGGGAGGCAGCAGUGGGGAAUAUUGCACAAUGGGCGCAAGCCUGAUGCAGCGACGCCGCGUGAGGGAUGGAGGCCUUCGGGUUGUGAACCUCUUUCGCCCGUGGUCAAGCCGCGACGUGGGUCGUGGUGAGGGUAGUGGGAAAAGAAGCGCCGGCUAACUACGUG